CCUCGCUCACGACACUAGGCAAACCUUUCUAGCCACGAUAGUUCUGCGUUCGUGUGUGUGUCGUCGUGCCGAGUUUUGUUCAUACGGUCGACUUUUACCGCGCUGCCUCGCAUUGUGUGUUGUAUGUUGUGGUUACUGACGUUAAGCGCAAGUUCGUCACGCAGUGUUAUACGCGGUAGCUGGUAAAUAGUCACCAGAUGCCGGCCGUGCGACUCCAGUCUGCGACUGCUUUGUUCAGUGUGACCGACGGAGGCGAUUCAUAGUUUUGAAAAACACGUUCUUCAAAUGUUUCCGCACGUCAGUAGGGUGCCUUGAUGCGCGUUUUGUCCGCUCACAUCGAGGCACAGUACACGGCAGUGAGUAGCAGCGCUGCAAUCCUUUCUCGACGACGCGUUCUGUGGCCUUGGAAAAUGCCUUGACGCUCGGGGACGGCCGGUAGCUCGGCGAUUCCUCGCUUGGCGCACCAUUGAAAACCGGCGGUCAUCCAGCAGUGUACGCUGCCAGCGUAUUUUUAUUGCCAGAGGUAGCAAACAGCAGUGCCACGACAAACAGUGGAGUGCUGACCAUGCAGUCCAGAAGGUGGCUGAGGCAAGUAUGCUAUAGGAGGUGCUUAUUCAGGCAGAAGAAAUAAGCUUCUGUAGCCAACGUAAAGGAAGCAUCUUCAAAAAGCAGUGCUACAAGGAUGUGAGCAGCAGUUUCCCUUCAACGAACGGGUCAAAUUCAUGGAAGCCACAUGCCUGCUGCUUCUGGCCUACACAAACAUGCAGCCACCAUAGUAAAGUUCUUGCAAAGACAUUCUACACGAACUUGCCCAAAGGCAGAAGGAAGGCACGCACAGAUGGACGCACAGAAAUCAUGGGGCUGCCGUAGAAGCUGUGAAUGAGCAUUAACCUGUGAACGUACAGAAAGGAGCGAAGUGGAGCUGUCCAUGGGCCGUGCACACAGUUUCAUAAGCAGGCUUGCAACACUUUUGACAAAUAUGUUCCUGAAUACACCUGCCGAAGUGGCAUUUAAAGAAGCAUGUAGUAGUGUACUUCACUGUUUAUUUGGCAUGAAGCAGCAGGUAUGCUUCCGUCAUCAGCAAGUUCACACAGUACAGUGCAUCUACACAUGGCAUGCUACCCCCACAUCUACCAGCCCGGGAUGUGUAGCUUGAUUGUAAAUGUUUACUUUGACUUAACACAACAAUUAUUAACAAAAUGACAUGAAAGUUUUGCCACCUAUGCAGGCGACAUUCUCAGUAUACGCUGGCAAAUAUAAGCGGAGUUUGACCAGUCCAUUAGUCGCACAUUUCCUUGUAAACAUCUCGUAGAGGGCCACUGUUGUUGUUGCAAGCCAAUGCGCCGUGAUGAAUGAACCAUGAUUCCAAGAUUUUUUUUUUCCUCCGACCUUUGUGCACAAGGUAGCAUCGUCGAAUUGAUUAGGUCAAAGUUAUGCCUUGUCAUUCAGCAGCGUUCAACAAGCUCCGUCUUAGAGCACGUUGCAUGGGUGGUUUUCGCAACAUCCUCUUUGUGUUCUUUAACCUUCGAUCGCCUUCUUCAACCCAUUUCGUCUAUGCAAGUUGUGUCGCAAUCUCCACAUUGUACUUCGUAGAUGAUCCCACUCUAAUCUUCGGCGGUGUUUGUGUAUACCUUGUCCUUAGGACAUGUGUUCACAAAGCCCAAAGACCGCACACCUGCGGAUGAUUAGAGCAGGGUACUCUACAGAGUACGUUGUGGGGUUCACGACACCACUUACAUCAGCGAGUCGGGCAGGAAAAUGCCAAAGACGUUCAAAGAACACAAAGUGGGAAUGUUGCUAAAGCCACCCAUGGAGCGCAUUUUAAGACAGCUUGUUGAAUACUGCUAGACGACAGGUUAUAGCUUCGACCUUAACAAUGCGACGAUGCUGGCUCAGGAACGAAGAUGGAGGAAAACUUGGAAUUAUGGUUCAUGCGUCAGGAAGCAUCUGCUUGAAACAACAACCACAGACCCACACCGAACGUGUACGUGGACGUAUGUGGCUAGUGCACUGGUCGACCUCCGCUCACUUGUUGCCAGCAUAUACCGAGACUGCCACCUGCAUAGGUGGCAAAGCUUCUAUGGGAUUUUAUGGUGCAGUUGUGGUACAAAACCAUUAUUUUGCAUUAAGGCAAAUGUGCCGUAUUACAUUGGACAGUACGGGCAGACCAUUCUUUAGUAUCUUAACGUAGGAGGUACGUAAGAAGACCUUCUUUGAAGGAAAUUGUUGUAUUCUGGGUCACGGAACAGUGUUCUCAUUCAAACGACGUGACGGAGCGCUUUGUGCUAGCUGUGCUAACGAAGGCACUUCGUAAGAAUACUCCUUUUUAGAGAAAUCGUUUAAUUAGGAACACGUAAAAGUGCUCGGCAGCGCUAUACCUUCAGCUUUGUCCGUGUUUAGGGGCCAGAUUUUUUGCAGUGUAAG